rnacentral:lncRNA from 1 species
AGUUUCGAAACUGCACACCUCUGGAGAAGAAAAUCAAUCCGAAAUUUUUCGAUGUUUAAUAUCUGUAUCCAAAAAUUUAUUUCCUUCUCUCUCUAGAAUUCUACUCUCUGCGCUCUACUCUUUUGCUUGUUAAGAUUCCUAUUUAGAACCCACCAAAAAAAUUGGCUAUAGAACAUGCUAUGGAACCUAGAUUUCUUGGCUAUUUAUCAACAUUUCAGAAC